CAGUCGCGCGGGAAUACGGGGGGGGCUAGCGUUGUUCGGAAUUACUGGGCGUAAAGCGCACGUAGGCGGCUUGGUAAGUUAGAGGUGAAAGCCUGGAGCUCAACUCCAGAAUUGCCUUUAAGACUGCCGAGCUAGCAGGUGAGAGAGGUAAGUGGAAUUCCGAGUGUAGAGGUGAAAUUCGUAGAUAUUCGGAAGAACACCAGUGGCGAAGGCGGCUUACUGGCUCAUACUGGACGCUGAGGUGCGAAAGCGUGGGGAGCAAACAGGAUUAGAGACCCCAGUAGUCCCUGUCUCUUAUACA
rnacentral:rRNA from 1 species